CUUGACGGUACCUAACCAGAAAGCACGGCUAACUACGUGCCAGCAGCCGCGGUAAUACGUAGGUGGCAAGCGGUAUCCGGAAUUAUUGGCGUAAAGCGCGCGCAGGUGGUUUCUUAAGUCUGAUGUGAAAGCCCACGGCUCAACCGUGGAGGGUCAUUGGAAACUGGGAGACUUGAGUGCAGAAGAGGAAAAGUGGAAUUCCAUGUGUAGCGGUGAAAUGCGUAGAGAUAUGGAGGAACACCAGUGGCGAAGGCGACUUUUUGGUCUGUAACUGACACUGAGGCGCGAAAGCGUGGGGAGCAAACAGGAUUAGAUACCCUGGUAGUUCACGCCGUAAACGAUGAGUGCUAAGUGUUAGAGGGUUUCCGCCCUUUAGUGCUGAAGUUAACGCAUUAAGCACUCCGCCUGGGGAGUACGGCCGCAAGGCUGAAACUCAAAGGAAUUGACGGGGGCCCGCACAAGCGGUGGAGCAUGUGGUUUAAUUUGAAGCAACGCGAAGAACCUUACCAGGUCUUGACAUCCUUUGACAACCCUAGAGAUAGGGCUUUUCCUUCGGGAGCAGAGUGACAGGUGGUGCAUGGUUGUCGUCAGCUCGUGUCGUGAGAUGUUGGGUUAAGUCCCGCAACGAGCGCAACCCUUGAUUUUAGUUGCCAUCAUUUAGUUGGGCACUUUAAGGUGACUGCCGGUGACAAACCGGAGGAAGGUGGGGAUGACGUCAAAUCAUCAUGCCCCUUAUGACCUGGGCUACACACGUGGUACAAUGGACGGUACAAAGAGCUGCAAGACCGCGAGGUGGAGCUAAUUUCAUAAAACCGUUUUCAGUUCGGAUUGUAGGGUGCAACUUGCCUACAUGAAGCUGGAAUCGCUAGUAAUCGCGGAUCAGCAUGCCGCGGUGAAUACGUUCCCGGGCCUUGUACACCCCGCCCGUCACACCCCGAGAGUUUGUAACACCCGAAGUCGGUGGGGUAACCUUU
rnacentral:rRNA from 2 species